rnacentral:rRNA from 1 species
AUUGAACGCUGGCGGCAGGCCUAACACAUGCAAGUCGAGCGAGCGGCGGACGGGUGAGUAAUGUCUGGGAAACUGCCUGAUGGAGGGGGGGAACUACAGGAAACGGUAGCUAAUAACGCAUACCAUCAGAUGUGCACAGAGGGGAUUGGUUGGGAGGUGGGGUAAUGGCUCACCUAGGCGACGAUCCCUAGCUGGUCUGAGAGGAUGACCAGCCACCAUGUAACUGCGCAACGGUCCAGACACCAACGGGAGGACGCAGUGGGGAAGUUUUAACAAUUGGCUGAAGCCUGAGACAGCCAUGCCGCGUAUUUGAGGAGGGCCUUCGGGUUGUAAAGCACUUUCAGCGGGGAGUCGUUACCCGCAGAAGAAGCACCGGCUAACUCCGUGCCAGCAGCCGCGGUAAUAC